rnacentral:rRNA from 1 species
GCCGUAGCGAAAGCGAGUUUUAACUGAGCGUUCAGUUACUUGACGUAGACCCGAAACCGGGCGACCUACCCAUGAGCAGGAUGAAGCGAAAGUAAAAUUUCGUGGAGGUCCGAACCCACGAGCGUUGAAAAGCUCGGGGAUGACUUGUGGGUAGCGGUGAAAUUCCAAUCGAGCCCGGAGAUAGCUGGUUCUCCCCGAAAUAGCUUUAGGGCUAGCCUCAAGGUGAGAGAUACGGAGGUAGAGCACUGAAUGUCCUAGGGGGUAUUGCACCUACCGAAGACUAUCAAACUCCGAAUGCCGUCAUCUUAUACUUGGGAGUCAGACUGUGGGUGAUAAGAUUCAUAGUCGAAAGGGCAACAGCCCAGAUCGUCAGCUAAGGUCCCUAAAUGUAAGUUAAGUGGUAAAGGAUGUGGGAUUGCACAGACAACCAGGAUGUUGGCUUAGAAGCAGCCACUCAUUCAAAGAGUGCGUAAUAGCUCACUGGUCGAGUGAUCCUGCGCCGAAGAUUUCCGGGGCUAAAACUUACUACCGAAGCUACGGCAUCAGUAAUGAUGGGUAGGGGAGCUUCCCAUACGGGUUGAAGCAUGACCGUAAGGACAUGUGGACAGUAUGGGAGUGAGAAUGUUGGCAUGAGUAGCGAGAUGUGGGUGAGAAUCCCACAGGCCGUAAACCCAAGGUUUCCAGGGGAAGGUUCGUCCGCCCUGGGUUAGUCGGGACCUAAGCUGAGGCCGAAAGGCGUAGGUGAUGGACAACAGGUUGAUAUUCCUGUACUACCGAUAACCGUUUGAGAGAAGGGAUGACACAGUAGGAUAAGCUAAGCACACUGUUGGUUAUGUGUGCCCAAGCAUUGAGGCAGUCAAAGCAGGCAAAUCCGCUUUGAUAAUGCUGGGAUGUGAUGGGGAGCGAAAUUUAGUAGCGAAGUAGCUGAUUUCACACUGUCAAGAAAAGUCUCUAUCGAGGUUAAAGGUACCCGUACCGCAAACCGACACAGGUGGGUGAGGAGAGUAUCCUAAGGCCAGCGAGAGAACUGUUGUUAAGGAACUCGGCAAAAUGACCCCGUAACUUAGGGAUAAGGGGUGCCACCAUCCGGUGGCCGCAGAGAAUAGGCCCAAGCGACUGUUUACCAAAAACAUAGGUUUCUGCUAAGUCGCAAGACGAUGUAUAGGAGCUGACGCCUGCCCGGUGCUGGAAGGUUAAGGGGAUCUGUUAGAGCAAUCGAAGCAGUGAACUUAAGCCCCAGUAAACGGCGGCCGUAACUAUAACGGUCCUAAGGUAGCGAAAUUCCUUGUCGGGUAAGUUCCGACCCGCACGAAAGGCGUAACGAUUUGGGCACUGUCUCAACAACAGACUCGGUGAAAUUGUAAUUCCGGUGAAGAUGCCGGAUACCUGCGACAGGACGGAAAGACCCCAUGGAGCUUUACUGUAGCUUGACAUUGGGUCUUGGUACUACAUGUACAGGAUAGGUGGGAGGCUUUGAAACCAGGACGCCAGUUUUGGCGGAGCCAUCCUUGGGAUACCACCCUUGUAGUACUGGGACUCUAACCAUAGGCCAUGAAUCUGGUCUUGGGACACUGUCAGGUGGGCAGUUUGACUGGGGCGGUCGCCUCCCAAAAGGUAACGGAGGCGCUCAAAGGUUCUCUCAGUACGGUCGGAAAUCGUACGUAGAGUGUAAAGGCAAAAGAGAGCUUGAUUGCAAGACAUACAGGUCGAGCAAGGAUGAAAAUCGGACUUAGUGAUCCGGUGGUUCUGCGUGGAAGGGCCAUCGCUCAACGGAUAAAAGCUACCCUGGGGAUAACAGGCUUAUCUCCCCCAAGAGUCCACAUCGACGGGGAGGUUUGGCACCUCGAUGUCGGCUCAUCACAUCCUGGGGCUGUAGUAGGUCCCAAGGGUUGGGCUGUUCGCCCAUUAAAGUGGUACGCGAGCUGGGUUCAGAACGUCGUGAGACAGUUCGGUCCCUAUCCGUCGCAGGCGUAGGAAAUUUGAGAAGACCUGUCCUUAGUACGAGAGGACCGGGAUGGACGUACCUCUGGUGUACCAGUUGUUCUGCCAAGGGCAUGGCUGGGUAGCUAUGUACGGAAUGGAUAAGCGCUGAAAGCAUCUAAGCGCGAAGCCAACUUCAAGAUAAGAUUUCCCACCGCAAGGGUAAGACCCCAGAAAGACUAUCUGGUUGA